CGCGGCCUAUCAGCUUGUUGGUGGGGUAGUGGCUUACCAAGGCUUUGACGGGUAGCCGGCCUGAGAGGGUGACCGGCCACAUUGGGACUGAGAUACGGCCCAGACUCCUACGGGAGGCAGCAGUGGGGAAUAUUGCACAAUGGGCGGAAGCCUGAUGCAGCAACGCCGCGUGCGGGAUGACGGCCUUCGGGUUGUAAACCGCUUUCGCCUGUGACGAAGCGUGAGUGACGAUAAUGGGUAAAGAAGCACCGGCUAACUACGUGCCAGCAGCCGCGGUGAUACGUAGGGUGCGAGCGUUGUCCGGAUUUAUUGGGCGUAAAGGGCUCGUAGGUGGUUGAUCGCGUCGGAAGUGUAAUCUUGGGGCUUAACCCUGAGCGUGCUUUCGAUACGGGUUGACUUGAGGAAGGUAGGGGAGAAUGGAAUUCCUGGUGGAGCGGUGGAAUGCGCAGAUAUCAGGAGGAACACCAGUGGCGAAGGCGGUUCUCUGGGCCUUUCCUGACGCUGAGGAGCGAAAGCGUGGGGAGCGAACAGGCUUAGAUACCCUGGUAGUCCACGCUGUAAACGGUGGGUACUAGGUGUGGGGUCCAUUCCACGGGUUCCGUGCCGUAGCUAACGCUUUAAGUACCCCGCCUGGGGAGUACGG
rnacentral:rRNA from 1 species